ACGAACGCUGGCGGCGUGCUUAACACAUGCAAGUCGCACGCUGAAGCUCAGCUUUUGUUGGGUGGAUGAGUGGCGAACGGGUGAGUAACACGUGAGUAACCUGCCCCCUUCUUUGGGAUAACGCCCGGAAACGGGUGCUAAUACUGGAUAUUCACUGGUCUUCGCAUGGGGGUUGGUGGAAAGGGUUUUUCUGGUGGGGGAUGGGCUCGCGGCCUAUCGGCUUGUUGGUGGGGUGAUGGCCUACCAAGGCUUUGACGGGUAGCCGGGCUGAGAGGGUGACCGGUCACAUUGGGACUGAGCUGCGGCCCAGACUACGACGGGGGGCAGCAGUGGCGAAUAUUGCAGAAUGGGUGAAAGCCUGAUGCAGCGACGCCGCGUGAGGGAUGGAGGCCGUCGGGUUGUGAACCUCUUUCGCUAAUGGUCAAGCCGCAACAAUGGUUGUGGUGAGGGUAGUGGGUAAAGAAGCGCCGGCUAACUACGUG
rnacentral:rRNA from 1 species